AUGAACGCUAGCGACAGGCCUAACACAUGCAAGUCGAGGGGCAGCGACAAGGAGCAAUCUGAGGUGGCGACCGGCGCACGGGUGAGUAACACGUAUGCAACCUGCCUGUAAGCGGGGAAUAACCCGUUGAAAGACGGACUAAUACCGCAUAAUACUAAAUUACUGCAUGGUAAUUUAUUUAAACAUUUAUGGCUUACAGAUGGGCAUGCGCAUGAUUAGCUAGUUGGAGAGGUAACGGCUCCCCAAGGCAACGAUCAUUAGGGGUUCUGAGAGGAAGGUCCCCCACACUGGUACUGAGACACGGACCAGACUCCUACGGGAGGCAGCAGUGAGGAAUAUUGGUCAAUGGACGAGAGUCUGAACCAGCCAAGUCGCGUGCAGGAAGAAUGUCCCUAUGGAUUGUAAACUGCUUUUGCAGGGGAAUAAAGUGCAUCACGUGUGAUGUUUUGUAUGUACUCUGCGAAUAAGGAUCGGCUAACUCCGUGCCAGCCGCCGC
rnacentral:rRNA from 1 species